rfam:Mustela putorius furo unplaced genomic scaffold scaffold00400, whole genome shotgun sequence.
CCAAAGGCUCUUUUCAGAGCCACCACGUGUGCUGAAAAGGUCUGU